CCCAUAAAUGGUGCGGCCCGGGGGGGGGGGAGGGGAAAGGAGCGGCCGCGACCAUCGGAGCAGCAUGGCCCGGGCCCCCCGCGGCCGGAUGGGGGCGCUGCUGCUGCUGCUGCUGCUGCUGCUGAGCGCGGGUGGGCUCGGCCGCCGGGAACCUCCUGGGGGGGCUGGACCUGCCCUCGGCGCCGCAGCGCAUCCGGACGGCGUACGAGCAGAGCGUGACGGCCGCGGUCACCUACAGCGGGAUCCUGACGGACCAACUCUACCACUGGUGGCAGGGGGAGCAGUGACCCCAAAAAUGACCCAAAAUCACCCCAAAAAUGACCCCAAAAAUGACCCCAAAAAUGACCCCGAAAUUUGGGGGAACCCAAAAUUUGGGGAAAUCCAAAAUAAAGGCUCUGGAAUGGAAAAAAAUGGGAAAAAAUGGGUGGAAAAUGAAAAAAAAAUGGGUGGAAAAUGAAAAAAUUGGGGAGGGGGGAAAUGAAAAAAAAAUGGGGGAAAAAGGAAAAAAUGGGUGGAAAAUGGAAAAAAUGGGUGAAAAAGACCAAAAAAUGGGGGUGAAAAACAGCAAAAAAAUGGGGGUGAAAAAUGAAAAAUAAUGAUGAAAAGUAGCCCAAAAAUGGAGGGGGAAAAAGGGAAAAAUGGGGGUGGAAAAUGAAAAAAAAUGGGUGGAAAAAUGAAAAAAACGGGUGGAAAAUGAAAAAAACAGGGUAAAAAAAUGAAAAAAAUGGGGUGAAAAAGGAAAAAAAAAUGAGGAAAAUGAGCUCAAAAAUGGAGGUGAAAAAAGGGGGAAAUGGGUUUGAGAAAUGGAAAAAAAUGGGGUGGAAAAUGAAAAAAUGGGGUGAAAAAGGAAAAAAAUGGGUGGAAAAUUAAAAAAAUGGG
rnacentral:lncRNA from 1 species